rnacentral:rRNA from 1 species
GAUGAACGCUGGCGGCGUGCCUAAUACAUGCAAGUCGAGCGAACAGACGAGGAGCUUGCUCCUCUGACGUUAGCGGCGGACGGGUGAGUAACACGUGGAUAACCUACCUAUAAGACUGGGAUAACUUCGGGAAGCCGGAGCUAAUACCGGAUAAUAUAUUGAACCGCAUGGUUCAAUAGUGAAAGACGGUUUUGCUGUCACUUAUAGAUGGAUCCGCGCCGCAUUAGCUAGUUGGUAAGGUAACGGCUUACCAAGGCGACGAUGCGUAGCCGACCUGAGAGGGUGAGGGGACACACUGAAACAGAGACGCGCUAGAGACUCAUACGGGAGGCAGGAGUAGAGAAUCUUCCGCUAGGCGCGAGAGCCAGACAGAGCAGCGGCGCGAGUGAUGAAGGUCUUCGGAUCGUAAAACUCUGUUAUUAGGGAAGAACAAAUGUGUAAGUAACUAUGCACGUCUUGACGGUACCUAAUCAGAAAGCCACGGCUAACUACGUG